CCCUUAGAUGUUCUGGGCCGCACACGCGCUACACUGGCAGGUUCAUCGAGCUUCAUGCCCUGAUCUGAGAAGAACGGGAAAUCUUUGAACACCUGUCGUGCUUGGGAUAGAUGUUUGCAAUUAUUCAUCUUCAACGAGGAUUGCCUUGUAAGCGCACGUCAUCAGCGUGCAUUGAAUACGACCCUGUAUUCUGUACACACCGCCCGUCGCUCCUACCGAUUGAAGUUUUCGGUGAAUUUACUGGAGAUCCCUUUUGAAGGUGGUUCGCCACUGGAAGAAGUAUUCAAAAGUAAAUGAAUCGAAUGCUUUAGAGGAAGGAGAAGUCGUAACA
rnacentral:rRNA from 1 species